rnacentral:rRNA from 1 species
UACGUAGGGGGCAAGCGUUGUCCGGAAUUAUUGGGCGUAAAGAGCUUGUAGGUGGUUUGUCGCGUCUGCUGUGAAAAUCCGAGGCUCAACCUCGGACUUGCAGUGGGUACGGGCAGACUAGAGUGUGGUAGGGGAGACUGGAAUUCCUGGUGUAGCGGUGAAAUGCGCAGAUAUCAGGAGGAACACCGGUGGCGAAGGCGGGUCUCUGGGCCGAUACUGACGCUGGAGGAGCGAAA